rnacentral:misc_RNA from 1 species
CUGAAUAAAAAUUUAAGUGAGAUUGAUGCUGGCUUUUCUUUAUAAAAAAGCAAGUGCACAUCUUGCCUCAAUUUUUUAAACCAUGUGCACUUUGCAUAAAUUUGAAAACAUUCAGAAAUAUAUUUUUUGAUUAUAAUAAGAAAUAAGAAUAUAAUUUUAGUUGUGUAUUGUGUUCGAUUCAAUCUUGAAAAGAAGGCGUCAGCUUUGGCACAGAUAAAUUGGGGUAACCUGAUCUGAAUUGACGUUGUAUACUUCUGGUUGACGAAGCAAGGCAUGUUCUCUUUGGAGAUAUGUUCACAAGAUCAAGUUGGUGUUUUAUAUUUUUGUUUUAUUUGCUGCAGGAGAAUAUUUUUCUUGUAGACAAUUGAGUGAUGAUAUAUACACUGCUAGGUCAUAUUCCUAUACCAACUGUAAAUCUGUUCUUAUUCAGAAUUGCAUGCUACUAUGUAGCUUUGACAGGUUUUGGAAAAACCAUGAUCUGGAUAUAUAUAUGCAUUUUUGUUUUAUUUCAAAAAGUAUUUUUCUGGUUUUUAGAACUGCUAUAUUUAAUAGCUGUUCUUAUAUUUCUUAAAUUUAUGCUUUACUUUAAUAUACUUUGUAAUAUUUAAAAAUAUAAAUGAUAUGUAUUGGGACUUUUUAAAUAAAAGUCUUUAAAUCUAAAACAACUUUCAACAACGGAUCUCUUGGCUCUCGCAUCGAUGAAGAACGCAGCGAAAUGCGAUAAGUAGUGUGAAUUGCAGAAUUCAGUGAAUCAUCGAAUUUUUGAACGCAUCUUGCGCUUUUUGAAACAUUUGUUUCAAGAAGCAUGUCUGUUUGAGUGUUGUUAAAUUCUCAGUUUGAACAUUGUUUUAUAAUAGUGUUUUAAAUUGGACUUUGGAAGUUGCUGGAUUAUAUAUAUAUUAAAUCAGCUCUUCUAAAAUUUAUUAGCAAAAUUCAGACUUUUGAAUUUCUCUAGUAUAAUAAUUUCUUGUACUAUUGAAUUCAGCCAUUUUAUUUAUAAAUUGGAUAGUUGUUUGUGCUAUAUAAUAUUAAUAAUUUAAUAUAUUCAACCUCAAAUCAGAUAGGACUACCCGCUGAACUUAAGCAUAUCAAUAAGCGGAGGAAAAGAAACUAACAAGGAUUCCCCUAGUAACUGCGAGUGAAGUGGGAUGAGCUCAAAUUUAAAAUCUGGCAGUUUUUAAUUGUCCGAAUUGUAAUCUAGAGAAGUGUUAUCUGUGCUGGACCGUGUACAAGUCUCC